UAGCAUUGCUUCUUUCCCACUGUUCAUGGAGUUCCUCUCUGUAUGACUCCUUGUUGCAAGAUCUAGUGACAAAACCAUACUUUCUCUUCCCUAAGAGAGCAAUUCGCAUAGAUCGACUCCAAAGACUAUAGUUUUCUGAACCAGUUAAUUUGAUUGGAACGAGUACAGUGCUUGAACUAUCCAAAGAACCAAUGAAGAGUGGAUCACUUUGAUCAAUUUUAGGUGCCAUGAAUGAAGAAAUUAAACUGCAAAAUCGACCAAACUUACAGAGAUGAAAGAACAAAAAACAGAGAAUAUACAGAGGUCUUAAGAAUUCUCUGAGAAUAUGAGGAAAAAGGAUCAAAAUACUCUCAGUAUUGAGAUCGUGUAUCUGAUACCAUGUGAAAUUCAAGCAUUACAGCUUGAUAAUCCAUGAACAAGGAAGAAGAAAGGAGAGAGUGUAGCUGGGAAUUUUAUUCUUCAUCAUCUGUACAUUACAACAUUGCAG
rnacentral:lncRNA from 1 species